GGCCUUUUGAUUAUAAUUUAAGGUCGGGCCUGCCCAAUGAAGAAAUUUAAUGGCCGCGGUAUAUUAACUGUGCAAAGGUAGCAUAAUCAUUAGUUUUUUAAUUGAAAGCUGGAAUGAAGGGUUUAAUGAAAAAAGUUCUGUUUCUGUUUAAAUUUAUUAGAAUUUUAUUUUUAAGUUAAAAAGCUUAAAUAAUUAUUGAAGACGAGAAGACCCUAUAGAGUUUUAUAUUUUUGGAAAUUUUUUUAUUUGGUAAUUUUAAUUUAAUUUUUAAAAGUAUUUGGUUGGGGUGAUUGAAAAAUUAAAGAAACUUUUUUUUUAUUAAACAUUAAUGUAUGAAUAAAUGAUCCUUUUUUUAGAUUAAAAGAAAGAAUUACCUUAGGGAUAACAGCGUAAUUUUUCUUAGAGUUCUUAUCAAAAGAAAAGAUUGCGACCUCGAUGUUGGAUUAAAAUAAGUUUUUGGUGCAGAAGCUAAAAAACUAGGUCUGUUCGACCUUUAAAUUUUUACAUGAUCUGAGUUUAGACCGGUUUAAG
rnacentral:rRNA from 1 species